AGGGCGGCGCAACCGGGGCCCCCUUGGAUGUCACAUUCGUAGGAAGAGAGAAGUCUUGGACCAUGUGCGUAAUUCGAGCGUGGGACUGUGCAAUUCUCGGAUUGGGAAAGGGAGGAGUGGAAAUAACCCCGGCAGUGCCAGGCUUGCUGGUGGUCAGGAACAGAUGAUUCCAGCCCUGUGCUGAUCGCCUGCCUUCCUCCUGCCGUUCAGAAUGCUGCUGUCUCGUGUACUUACUGUUAAGCAUCCUGGAAAAGGGAGUGGUUCCUCCUAGCUGCAAACAAGGGCGCUACUUUUCUUUUCUCUUUAAUAGAAUUACGUUUUAUAGGUGUGUCUAGGCAACACAAGGGAAUGUGAAAGACUUUCAGAGGGAAUGUUUGUGAAUACAUCUGGUGUGUACUAAAAAGCUGGAAAACCCCUAAGUAAAUGCAAUAUCGAUAGAAAGCGAGUUUCUUGAAGAGUCAUCUGCUAAACUCCACUACAGUCAUCUCUACAGGUGUGGUUAAGAGAAAAAAAAAUUGCCAUUAAGGAAUCAGCAAAUAGGAUGUCUGAAGUGAGGAUAUAGCACCUAUCUCUGAGAUUAAAGUCAUCUGAUCAAAAAUGAUGCCUCUGAGACUAUAACAAAGGAAUGAAUAAUGAAAUAUAAGAAUGGGGAUUCUGCACUAACUCUAUGGGGAAGAAAACAAUGUCUCUGUUCAUCAUGAGAAAUGCUCAGCGACUGCAGACAUAAAGAGAAAGCUUUCAAUUAAAGUUUCAAUGAUGGGAUAGGAACUGAGAAGUCUGUGGAGUUUUCUGCCUAGGAGUACCCUUGGAAAAGCCACUGCUAUGCCCAACCAGCACUGGGAAUCCCAGAUCACAUGCAAUCAUAGGAGUUGCCCUGGAGGCAGAAGCUCAGCACAUGUUCUGGUACAAGGAGAUUACAGUGUUGUGCAAAGCAAAGGGAUGAAUGAUGCCCAACUCUCUAACAUGGGCCUCGGUUUCCACAUCGAGGUUGGAAAUGAGCUAGGAAGCAGAUCCACCAUAAAUGGAGAAAGAAGAGAAACAAGGUGAGCUUUUAAUGACACCGUAGCCUGACUCUUUGGUAUGGAAAUGGAAAGAGAUCCUCAUGGAAACAUAAAUAAAAUAUAUCACAUAUAACUUACACCAAUAAUUAUUUUCUCCCCCAGUACCUCAAUUUUGCCCAGAUUGGACUCUAUUUUAUUUCCUUAUUUUUCCACAGUAAUUUACUUAAGUAAAACCAGGAUUUAUUUUAUUCAUCUCCAUGUCAGUUGCUAAGUCCAAGGGAUGUAUAUAGUUUAAAAAAUAUCACAAAGGAUGAUAUGGUGAAAUUGAACAACACAUUAUUACCUGAUGUACAGUCAUUGAUUUUGUAUACUAGCCUUUACCCCUGGCUACUGAUAAUUUUGGAUUUUGAAGAUUCAAAGACAGAGACUUGUAAAUACUUUAGUUUUUACACUUCUUUAUCGUACUCAUACCUGGGAUGGAAAAGUAUCAUUUAAUAUAUUAAGAACAUUGUUAUAGUACGUGUGUUUAAAUAACUCACAAGAGCAAGUAAUCUUACCUCAUGUCAUCUAUUUUUGAAAAAAUAUUUUAUGUAUUUCCACCUGCUUCUUCCAGAUGACCUUUAGCAAAACUUUGUGAAGUUUCAUUGUGGCUGUUGUCUUAGAAAGAUGGUCUUGUUAAUAAGAAGGUCAGUGUUUUAGCCUUGCAAUAUAAGAUGAUGUGCAUUUGUUUAGAGGGAGACUUUAGGAUACAGCAAAGUGUUUUACAAAUGUUUACCAUUUUUAUUCUUAUUAGAUUUUUGAAAGUAUUUGGUUUAAAAUUUUCUUCUUUUUAUUCAACCAGCUCUUUAAAUUACCCAUCAAUUCUUGUUAAGAGUGUGUAUAGUAUAUCUCUCUAUACAUUUCAUGUAUUUUUGUAUGAAUUGUGCUAUUUUUAUAAUUUUUCUAUUUAGCCUCUGUAUCCAAUAUGAUUCAAUGUAUACAUGGAUGCCAUACGUAGGUACUGAUUAUUUCCUCUUUUAUUAUUAAUAAAUUCUAAUUUAUUUCAA